GGACGCUUAGCUCAGCUGGGAGAGCAUCUGCCUUACAAGCAGAGGGUCAUAGGUUCGAGCCCUAUAGCGUCCACCA
rnacentral:tRNA from 7 species